CAAGACCUUGUCUCUAUUAAAUUAAAGAUUAAAAUAGAGUUUACAAAUUAAAAAAUGUCAACACAAAGUAAACUUUAUACUUUGUGAGCUGAGCAGGUGGCCAGCUUGCCGCCCAGCUGCUCAGCCUGGCACCAAUGGCUUGUCCUGCACCAGUGCUUGGCAUGGGGUCAGGAGGACAGUUUGGGAAGAGUCUCCAGCAGACCGGCGUGCCUGGUCUCACAGAUGACUUCCCAACCCCGUGCCAAUGGGAAACCAACAGAGGCAAGUGGCCAGGGUGGAGAGCCUGGGAGGCAGAGCAGGUGGCCCUGGCACAGCAGGUCUGGCCCUGCUUCUCUUCACUGGCUGAUGUGCAGACAUUUAUUAGUAAAUCUUCACGGCGGUCUAGGGAGUGACAGCAUCCUCUGGAAUAUUUCAACUACAAAAGGCCUUUGACUGAGCGCUGUUCAUCGAGUCCAGCCCCGGCUUUGCAAAUAAACAGCUGACACCAAGAGAGGAGAAGCAACACGGCUGAGGCCACAGGGUGACAAAGCCUUAACAGGGGUGGUCUUUGGCCGGAGGAAGAAAUGGCUUUGUUGCUCAGGAGAGCUUUGGGAAUGGAACUCAGGGGCUUCCAAAGAGCAGCAAUCAGGAAAACAAGCAGGGAGGAUCCAGGUUUUGCAAGGCCUGAAGCCUGCACACUAGGGAGCCCCAUGCUCUGUGAAGGAGAGAACAGUGAUAAGAAGAAGAUAAUGAUUCAGCAGCUUUGCAAACAUUGUUUGGUGAAUAAACAGCCCCGUUCAGUGCACCGGUUUCUUCCUCCCAUCAUGGGACAGGUGGAAUGUGAUCUGAGAUGCCAGCCUUGGUCAGCUGGAGGGUUGUUCAGCUGCCUCGUGACUCCUCCUCGGUAUUUCUGGCCCAAGAAGUUGGGCCUGGGAGGACAGACCCAGCCCAACCAUCCUCCUGUGAAGGACCCUUCGUGACGGGGUGGAGGCCACACUCUCUGGCUCCUGCUCCUGAUCACUUUCCUUCCCGUUCCUCAUGAACAUGUCCAGGCAUCAGCCCAGGGGCAGAUCUAGGAAAGCCUGGAGCCACCGGGCCCCUUGGAGCUUCCUCAGGGGCCACCAGAGGGUGGGGGCCCGGUAAGCAGCUCCCUUGCACCUGGCUUAGUCUGUAAUCUAGUGCAAUCCCUUCACCGUGAGGAUAAUUGGGCCCAGAGGGCUCAUGGUGAGUCAGACAGCCUGGGGUCCAGUCCCCAGCUGGGGGCUUUGCCCACAGCACCUUGUGCCCUCUCUCCUUUGUGGGUCUAUCCUCGUCCUCACACACGUUGUCUCUCUGUUCCAGGGAAGGAGUAUUCCAUGGCCCAUAAUCCGUGUGAACAGAUAGACAACGGGAAGCAUCUUUGUUAUUCCAACACUGGGGCAAUUUCUUUCACCAACCCGUAGCAGAGGCCUUAAUGAGGCUUCAGUCUAGCUGAAAAGGUUGUCCAAACCCCACACGUAGCACCAGGUGAGCCAUAACUAAGACUGGACUAUAUGUGGGCUCUCACUUUGGACCCUAUCCAGACCUUCCCACUCACUCCCUGUGGGAUCUACAGAAGUCUUUCCCUUCUCUGGACCUUAGUCUCCUCAUCUAUACAAUGGUGAUGUUGGACCAGAAAUUCUAAGGACCCCCUUUCUCCUGAUCUGUUCCUGAUUCUAUAAGGCCAGGGGUGGGAACAACCAUCCUGGAAUCCUCUCAGGAAAAAGCUGCUCAGGCAGGGUGCAGUGGCUCACGCACUUUGGGAGGCUGAGGCGGGCAGAUCAUUUGAGGUCAGGAGUUU
rnacentral:lncRNA from 10 species